CACGGACCACCAGUGAGUGGACUCUUUGUUUGUAUAAAUGAAUUUAAGCAGUUCAGUUACAGUAUUUGAUCUUGAAUAAGUUUUAUUCAAAGAUUAGUGUUUUAUAAGCUGUUAUCUGCUUUUAAAUAUUUUGUUUUGCCUGAUGCCGAGUGGAAUAUCCUUUAAAGGAUAUAGGAAAAGAAAUUCUAGCUAAUUAUCAGAUAAAUGGCAGCAGAGUUUUAGAGUUUACAGAAAUUCAGUUAGUCAACAGAUUUUCUUCAGAAACUUUAUAUUUUCU
rnacentral:lncRNA from 1 species